GUUUAGGGGACAACACCUUCUACAUCAGGUUCCUGGCUCCUCCUCUCCUGCCAGGAGUCAGUGCGGCCGAGCUAAUCCCCAAAUCCGGUCUCCUAAGCUGCAGCUGCCUCCCUUUGCAGGGAUGAAUGGCUCGGGGAGGGAAGGUGAAUUCAUAUUUUAAUUACCGAG
rnacentral:lncRNA from 14 species